UGUGAACUCGAAGAGUAGGGCGGGACACGUGGUAUCCUGUCUGAAUAUGGGGGGACCAUCCUCCAAGGCUAAAUACUCCUGACUGACCGAUAGUGAACCAGUACCGUGAGGGAAAGGCGAAAAGAACCCCGGCGAGGGGAGUGAAAAAGAACCUGAAACCGUGUACGUACAAGCAGUGGGAGCACCUUCGGGUGUGACUGCGUACCUUUUGUAUAAUGGGUCAGCGACUUAUAUUCUGUAGCAAGGUUAACCGUAUAGGGGAGCCGCAGGGAAACCGAGUCUUAACUGGGCGUUAAGUUGCAGGGUAUAGACCCGAAACCCGGUGAUCUAGCCAUGGGCAGGUUGAAGGUUGGGUAACACUAACUGGAGGACCGAACCGACUAAUGUUGAAAAAUUAGCGGAUGACUUGUGGCUGGGGGUGAAAGGCCAAUCAAACCGGGAGAUAGCUGGUUCUCCCCGAAAGCUAUUUAGGUAGCGCCUCGUGAACUCAUCUUCGGGGGUAGAGCACUGUUUCGGCUAGGGGGUCAUCCCGACUUACCAACCCGAUGCAAAC
rnacentral:rRNA from 1 species